rnacentral:tRNA from 1 species
GCUUUCGUGGUGUAAUUGGUAGCAUACUCGACGCAUAUUCGAGAGGUCCAGGGUUCGAGUCCCGGCGAGGGUA